rnacentral:misc_RNA from 1 species
GAUGAAGAACGUAGCGAAAUGCGAUACUUGGUGUGAAUUGCAGAAUCCCGUGAACCAUCGAGUCUUUGAACGCAAGUUGCGCCCGAAGCCAUCAGGUUGAGGGCACGUCUGCCUGGGCGUCACAUAUCGUUGCCCAAUGCCUAUUGCAGUGCAAUAGGAAUUUCUAGGGCGAAUGAUGGCUUCCCGUGAGCGUUGUCGCCUCGCGGUUGGUUGAAAAUCGAGUCCUUGGUAGGGUGUGCCAUGGUAGAUGGUGGUCGAGUUAGAACGAUACCGAUCAUGUGCAUGCUCCCCAAAAUAUGGCCUCUAUGACCCACACGCGUCUUUUGACGCUCAUGACGAGACCUCAGGUCAGGCGGGGCUACCCGCUGAAUUUAAGCAUAUCAAUAAGCGGAGGA